UUUAAGUGUAAAAAAAAAAAAAUCCUUUUAUGUUUUUAGAGUGUAUUGGAUAAGGAGUAGAGUUGUUAAAAUGGAAAUAAUUAAUUUUUACACUUCAUUACUCUUGCUUGUUCUAGCCUCUCUCUUGUGCCUUUUGGGAAUAAAAAAGCAACAUUUCCUGUUUUGCUGGGCAUUUCAUUUAGCUGUCAGCAGAUGCAGAGACCUAGUUUCCCAUCUCGUGAGAGAGAGACAGAGAGAAAGAGAGAGAGGGAGAAGAAUGUGGAUGGGGAUGACAAGACAGUGGAAAGUCUGGAACAUUACGCAGGUUCAAAAUCAUACCUAACAAAACAUGACGUCCUGACAACUUCACGCACUGUACCUAUCAGUCACAAGACUGUAAAAUGGGUCGUUCUCAGGAAACUGUGCCAUUUGUGCCUGAAGUUCAGUUUCAUUUGAAAAGGUUAGUGCUGAAUUUGCAAAAAAUCGUAUUUUUUGCACCUCAAGCCUGAAGUACCAGCGCCAGAACUGAUACAUAGACACUGGAGGAAUCAGAAAGAACUUUAUUGCCAGGUAUGUUUACACAUACAAGGAAUUUGUUUUAGUGACAGAAGCUUCCACAGCACAAACAGAAUGACAAUAACAAGACAAGACAGAUAAUAAAAAUAAUAAUAAUAAAUAAUAAUAAUAAUAAUAAUAAGUAGAUAGGAAAUAACAAUAUACACAAAAAUAUAUAUAUUUAAAAAAAUACACAAUAUACAAAGUAGAUAAUAGAUGGUAUGAGUUUGCACAGGUGUGUUAUGUACAAAUGCAAGAAAAUGUAAAAAGAGGUAUGUGUGUUAAAUAAAUAAAUAAAUAAAUAAAUAGUGUUGUAUAUACACGUUUAUUGCCAAGUUAACUGUUCAGGAGAUGGAUUGCUUGAGGAAAGAAACUGUUCCUGGCCGUUCUGGUGCUCAGUGCUCUGUGGCGCCAACCAGACGGCAACAGUUCAAAGAGGAAGUGGCCUGGGUGUGAGUGGUCCAGAAUGAUUUUGCCAGCUCUUUUACUCACUCUGGAUGAGUGUAGUUCUUGGAGAGGGGGGAGGGUUGUACCAGUGAUUUGCUCAGCAGUCCAGACUAUCUUCUAAUCUUCAAUCUUCUAAGGUCUGAUUUGGUAGCUGAGUUGAACCAGACAGUUAUAGAAGUGCAGAAGACAGAUUCAAUGACUGCAGAGUAGAGGGUGACACGGGAGUGGAUUUUCAAAUCUCUCCCGUCCCACUCCCAAAAAAAUUAAAAUAAAAAAAAUACCCGUCCCAUCCCAUUCCCACGAAAAAACUGGGGGAAAAUCCGGUCCAGUCCCAAUCCCAGAAGAAUGACUCCCAUUCCCUCCCACUCCUGUGUUGUUGUUUUUUUUUUUUUUGUUCCCACUUCCCUCCCACUCCUGUGUUGUGUUUUUUUUUUUUUUUGGUCCGGAAUCUAUCAGUUACAGUAAAAAUACAGUACAGAUCACAGCAUUGCACACACAUUAAAUUUAAUGUAAAUCAUCCAUGCAAACACAUGCACGUGCACACAUUUUAAAAAUUCAUUGAAAACAUUUUUUGGUUACUUCAGACUGCCAGAAAUGUCGGUGAGCACAACUGAGUUAUCAUUUUCUGACAGUAGUCGUUGCAGACUCCAUUUUGAUUAUGAUUUUCGUGGUUACAAAGUGCAUGGGGAAGCCACCUUCUUCUCUUAUAUUAUUGGUGUUUGGCAUUGGCAUACCGACUUGGUGUAUUACCGCCACCAACUGUUACGGGUGUGGAGCACGUCAUUCACUUAACUGGCUGCAACGAAGCAAACAGGAGGAGAGCAUAAAGAGACUGGGCAACUAGAAUUGAGUUCAAAAUUAAAAUAUACAGUUUAUUUAUAUAAAAGGUAUAUUUGUGUAUAAAGUUGGGUAGUGUAAUUAUAAUUCCCGGUCCCGCCCACUCCCACUGACAUUCCUGUCCUGUCCCAAUCACGUGAUUAAUAGAUUUUGUUUCCUGAAAAAAUGUCAGCCUCUACUGCAGAGUAGAACUGUAUCAGCAGCUUGAACUUCCUCAGCUGAGGAAGGAAGUUCAGCCUCUGCUAGGCCUUCUUGAUAAUGGAGUCUAUGUGGAACUUCCACUUCAUGUCCUGAGAGAUGGUGGUGCCCAGGAACUUGAAUGACUCUAACAGUGCUGUCCAUGAUGGUGAGUGGGGGGAGUUUUGAGCGCGUUCAGCUCCAGGAUGUUAUAACUGCACCAGAUAGCCAGCUCUUCGUCCUGGAUGAGGCUGAUAAGUGUGGUGUCAUCUGCGAACUUCAGAGCCUUGACUGAGGGGUCUUAAGAGGUGCAGUUGUUAGUGUAGAGGGAGAAGAGGUCUGUAAUCUUUUAUUGCUGUAAUUUUGGGUUUCUAUGGGAUGGGGAUGAUGGUGGAGCAUUUGAAGCAGGAAGGGAUC
rnacentral:lncRNA from 1 species